rnacentral:rRNA from 1 species
UGAGCAAUCUGCCCUUCUCAUCGGAAUAAGCGUUGGAAACGACGUCUAAUGCCGAAUACGACCUCCUUUCGCAUGAUCGGAGGUGGAAAGCUCCGGCGGAGAAGGAUGAGCUCGCGGCCUAUCAGCUAGUUGGUGUGGGUAACGGCCCACCAAGGCGACGACGGGUAGCCGGCCUGAGAGGGUGACCGGCCACACUGGGACUGAGACACGGCCCAGACCUCCUACGGGAGGNAG